AACGAACGCUGGCGGCAUGCCUAACACAUGCAAGUCGAACGAGACCUUCGGGUUUAGUGGCGCACGGGUGCGUAACGCGUGGGAAUCUGCCCUUGGGUUCGGAAUAACUCAGAGAAAUUUGAGCUAAUACCGGAUGAUGACGAAAGUCCAAAGAUUUAUCGCCCAAGGAUGAGCCCGCGUAAGAUUAGCUUGUUGGUGGGGUAAUGGCCCACCAAGGCGACGAUCUUUAGCUGGUCUGAGAGGAUGAUCAGCCACACUGGGACUGAGACACGGCCCAGACUCCUACGGGAGGCAGCAGUGGGGAAUAUUGGACAAUGGGCGAAAGCCUGAUCCAGCAAUGCCGCGUGAGUGAUGAAGGCCUUAGGGUUGUAAAGCUCUUUUACCAGGGAUGAUAAUGACAGUACCUGGAGAAUAAGCUCCGGCUAACUCCGUGCCAGCCGCCGCGGUAAAAC
rnacentral:rRNA from 1 species